rnacentral:rRNA from 1 species
AACGAACGCUGGCGGCGUGCCUAACACAUGCAAGUCGAACGAGACCUUCGGGGCUAGUGGCGCACGGGUGCGUAACGCGUGGGAACCUGCCCUUAGGUUCGGAAUAACUCCCCGAAAGGGGUGCCAAUACCGGAUAAUGUCUUCGGACCAAAGAUUUAUCGCCUUUGGAUGGGCCCGCGUUGGCUUAGCUAGUUGGUAGGGUAAAAGCCUACCAAGGCGACGAUCCAUAGCUGGUCUGAGAGGCUGAUCAGCCACACUGGGACUGAGACCCGGCCCAGACUCCUACGGGAGGCAGCAGUGGGGAAUAUUGGACGCUGGGCGAAAGCCUGAUCCAGCAAUGCCGCGUGAGUGAUGCAGGCCUUAGGGUUGUAAAGCUCUUUUACCCGGGAUGAUAAUGACAGUACCGGGAGAAUAAGCUCCGGCUAACUCCGUG